rnacentral:lncRNA from 1 species
CAUCUCUGAUUAAUUUUACUUUUGCAGCCUCUCUUGUUCAUUUCACUUCUGAAGUAUCUCUUGUCCAUUUCCCCUUUGCAGCAUCUCUUGUCCUUUUCAUCUCUGCAGCAUCUCUUUUCUAUUUCCCCUUUGCAGCAUCUUUUGUUCAUUUUCUCUUUGUAGCAUUUCUUGCCCAUUUCCCCUUUGCAACAUCUCUGAUCAAUUUUACCUUUGCAGCAUCUCUAGUUUUCCCUUUGUAGCAUUUCUAGCCCAUCUGCAACAUCUCUGAUUAAUUUUUG